GACUGACGCCUUAGGCGAUACAAUAGACUUGUGUUUCCCCAGACGCACGUUCGUACUGGUGCUUCAACGUUCUUUGAAGGCUUUAAAUGCUUCCAGUGAGACUUUGUUCUACCCUAAGCACGUGAGUUUCUCUUGUAUCGAGUGGAAAGACAAGCAUACCUGACAUGGUUGCAGCGCGUUUUUCCGCAGCCGAGUGAGACGCCUCCGCGCAGGGCGGCGCUUCUGGAGACUCUGGACUUUUUCCGCGACCGCUUUUACCCCAAAGUAUACGGUAUGGGUGUUGGAAUAUGCACUAUAGAUGACAGACGUGGUCCGUGGAAGGUGCAUACCUGGAAGCAUCGUCCCGCUUCUACGCACGCACGCAGGAGCCUGUGCGCCUCCGGAGAGCGUCGCCGUGGAGUCUGGCAGCCUCACGCCUCGUGAGAAGCACUCAAGUCCGACAAAGCGCUUGCGUGCUGAGAAUUUCACGGCGAGGUCCAUACAGGAAGGAUAACAGCAGCCGCUUUGGUCAUACAGUUCUAUGUGAAGACAGCAGAUGCCACGAGAGCGUAGCACGUUUGGUGUACGUGGCAUGGUGUUGAGUUUGCGCGCGGCUCUGCGGCCCCUGCAAGGUGGACGUGCGAAACGACAAGCAUUUGCGUGUCGGGCUGUGUUCAUGAUGCUUGCAUAUACUGUAUACAUCCGUAGCUGGGGCGCACGGCAAUGUGAAGGUUUCAUCAUGGGAAGAGACGUGCGUUCGUCUCAGGGUUUUGCGAUACUCCAUACGUGUGCUCUUGUUCGCCUCGACGUGAAGGCUGUACUGGUGCGGAUCCGCAGGAAGAGGCGCACGCAAGGCCACCGAAAAUGGUUGUUGCCGCCUUUGCAUGCAAUUGUAUUCGCCGAGCAUUGACGUGAACGAGAUAGGAAACUGCAACGGGUACAUGUUUUUCGCAUGUUCUAGGCUCCGUAUCGUUUUCAGAGCGGCCAAACCAUGAAAGAGGAUGCUGGUACCUGUCCAUGUGCAGCUUGCUGGUGAUCUCUUCGACAUACCGGGUCAUCAAAUGUGUAUGAAAAAACUUGCGAAAGCGAUGUACAUGCCGUGCCUUGUCGUCAAACAAGAAGCAGACUUGCUCUGUGUUCCCUGAAGCAGUUUGCGAUCCUUGCUGAUGCGUUUCACGUGAUUUCCGUUGGCGGAAAAUGAGAAACAGACUGACAACGCGUCUCCAAUGGCAGUCACUAACGAUGUAAAAUCUAUCAUGCU